CUGGGGAGCGAUUUGCAAUCAUUAUCGCCAAUCAUAGUCAGGGCUAUGGAGGAAAAGACAGCGAAGAAGGCGACACCGGACAAAUCUGAAGUUCAUCCCUUGAACGUGAUCAAGGUCACGAUGGAGGACCUUACAGAGGCAGACCGGAUGGAGAUUGAAGAAGAAAUCGCACGAGAGAUGGAGGAGAAACGGAACGAGAGAUUGGCUUGCUUUCGAAAAACCAAGAAUGGUGUGAUCAAACAGAUUGGUGGGGCAAGCACGUCCAGCAAGAAGAUCCGAUCUAUAGUUCAACAGAUUCAAGGAGAAUUGCAGGGUAAGCGUGUAGAAAAUCUUUCAUAUGCGCCUAGUUAUAACAGAGCAGUUGCGCAUAAUGAUGUAAACCAAACUGUUAAUGAGAGGAGUGGGGAUUCAGUAAUGAACUUUAACCUACAGCAGCCAUAUUAUCAGAGUAUGGCAUACGGGCCAUCUAUUCCACCUAUAGGGAACAAGAUCCCACAAGGAUUUGUUCCAAAUGAUUACAGGAUUGGAGAGCAGAGAGCGUUGUUAUCAGCAUCGGGAGUCACACAUACAACAGCUGAGGCGGCCAUAUUUGGAGACAGAGCGAAGGCAUGGAGGUGGAGUGUGGAGCAGGCUAGGGAGAAGUAUGGGGAGUCGGCCCUGGGCUAUUGCCAUAUCAAAAGGCCCCGAGGAGUUGCGCUCGCAGAUUCAAAAGAAAUGGGUUUCUCGCAACCCAGCAGAUGCCAGAAGGCUACAUAUGGGCAAAAAACAGAAGAAGGGGGUGUUAUUGUUGAUGGGCGAGAUGAGCCACUGAGCAAAAGAUGCUCAAAAGUCAUAGUGGGAACAGUGGAGUGCGACAUAUUAAAUGAUACAGAAGGUUCCCAGGCAGAGGUGGCAAAGCAGAAUGGUCAGGUGGUUGUCACUAAGAUUUACACAAAGAAGGGUGAGGAAAUGGCAGCUAAGCCAAGCAUAGGGCAUGGACGCGUAGCUGCUGCUAAGACAAACAAAUCACAAGGGAGCAUGCUGCGAAGUGGUGGUGAUCAAGGGGUGAGCAGCAAGCGCAUGAGGCUUGACGUAGGGGCUGCACGAGAAAUGAAUAACUUUGCUAGCUGGGAGGGUGAACGCAGGGCUGAAAUGAUUGCAAAUCAACGCAUAGUUGGUCCCGGUGUUAUGAUGGAUGGCCACUAUAGGGGGGAGCAUCACACAUUGGCCGAACAAUCAGGUCCUACUGGUCGAGCUUCAGCUGGCAGUGUACUGGAUGUGGGGGACAAGAAAAAUCAUGGUUCAGUUGCGCCCAGUACAAAACCAGCAUCGAGAUGGUGUCCACCUGGAUUAAGCCGUACGCAAAAGCGUCGUGUCCAGCGGUUGAGGACUAUGGAAAUGACAAAAAAGAUGGAAGAGGAGGAAUGUGACAGAUGGUUUAACGAGGAUAGGCCAAUGGUUAUCCCUAAGAAAACGUGGAGGGAGAAACGAUUGGCCAGGGAGGAAAAAGAUGAUGACAACAGCAAUGGUUCCGAUAAAGAAGAAAGCACUGAAGCACAAGGGGGCAUGGAUAUAAACAUGGUGUUUGUUUUACCUACUGAGUUCGGAGCAGGAGAGGGAGAUGUGGCUGAGCUAACAUUGGGGGCUGAGCGUGCUGUGUUUGAAAAAACAAGUGAUCAGGUGGAGGUGAUUGAAGCAGACACCGCUAUGUGUAUCGCACUCAUGGAAAACGCCAAUGGAAUGGCAGCACAGUAA
rnacentral:misc_RNA from 1 species